UACAGAGGGUGCGAGCGUUGUCCGGAAUCACUGGGCGUAAAGGGUGCGUAGGCGGCUUUGUAGGUCAGUGGUGAAAUAUCGCAGCUUAACUGUGAGGGUGCCAUUGAUACUGCAGAGCUUGAGUACAGAUGAGGUAGGCGGAAUUGACGGUGUAGCGGUGAAAUGCUUAGAUAUCGUCAAGAACACCUAUAGCGAAGGCAGCUUACUAGGCUGUAACUGACGCUGAGGCACGAAAGUGUGGGGAUCAAACAGG
rnacentral:rRNA from 1 species